rnacentral:rRNA from 1 species
UACGGAGGGGACUAGCGUUGUUCGGAAUUACUGGGCGUAAAGCGCACGUAGGCGGAUUUGUAAGUCAGGGGUGAAAUCCCGGGGCUCAACCUCGGAACUGCCUUUGAUACUGCAAAUCUCGAGUCCGGAAGAGGUGAGUGGAAUUCCGAGUGUAGAGGUGAAAUUCGUAGAUAUUCGGAAGAACACCAGUGGCGAAGGCGGCUCACUGGACUGGUAUUGACGCUGAGGUGCGAAAGCGUGGGGAGCAAACAGG